rnacentral:rRNA from 1 species
UACGGAGGGGGCUAGCGUUGUUCGGAAUUACUGGGCGUAAAGCGCGCGUAGGCGGACCUGCAAGUCGGGGGUGAAAGCCCGAGGCUCAACCUCGGAACUGCCUUCGAUACUGCGGGUCUCGAGUCCGGGAGAGGUGAGUGGAAUUCCUAGUGUAGAGGUGAAAUGCGUAGAUAUCUGGAGGAACACCGGUGGCGAAGGCGGCAUCCUGGACCGACACUGACGCUGAGGAGCGAAAGCCAGGGGAGCAAACGGG